UACGGAGGGUGCAAGCGUUAUCCGGAUUCACUGGGUUUAAAGGGUGCGUAGGUGGCCAACUAAGUCAGACGUGAAAUCCCUCGGCUUAACCGGGGAACUGCGUCUGAUACUGGGAGGCUCGAGUAUGGGAGAGGGAUGUAGAAUUCCAGGUGUAGCGGUGAAAUGCGUAGAUAUCUGGAGGAAUACCGGUGGCGAAGGCGGCAUCCUGGACCAUUACUGACGCUGAGGAGCGAAAGCCAGGGGA
rnacentral:rRNA from 1 species